CCUACGGGAGGCUGCAGUGGGGAAUAUUGCACAAUGGGGGAAACUCUGAUGCAGCAACGUCGCGUGAAGGAAGACGGUUUUCGGAGUGUAAACUUCUAUCAAUAGGGAAGAAAGAAAUGACGGUACCUAAAUAAGAAGCCCCGGCUAACUACGUGCCAGCAGCCGCGGUAAUACGUAGGGGGCAAGCGUUAUCCGGAAUUACUGGGUGUAAAGGGAGAGUAGGCGGCAAGGUAAGCGAGAUGUGAAAGCCUUAGGCUUAACUGAAGGAUGGCAUAACGAACUAGCUGGCUAGAGUACAGGAGAGGAAGGCGGAAUUCGUAGUGUAGCGGUGAAAUGCGUAGAUAUUAGGAAGAACCCCAGUGGCGAAGGCGGCUUUCUAGACUGAAACUGACGCUGAGGCUCGAAAGUGUGGGGAGCGAACAGGAUUAGAUACCCUAGUAGUC
rnacentral:rRNA from 1 species